rnacentral:rRNA from 1 species
UACAGAGGUCUCAAGCGUUGUUCGGAAUCACUGGGCGUAAAGGGUGCGUAGGCCGCCCGGUAAGUCAGAGGUGAAAUCCCGGAGCUCAACUUCGGAAUUGCCUCCGAUACUGCCGUGCUUGAGGACUGGAGAGGAGAUUGGAAUUCACAGUGGAGCAGUGAAAUGCGUAGAUAUUGUGAGGAACACUAGUGGCGAAGGCGAAUCUCUGGACAGUUCCUGACGCUGAGGCACGAAGGCCAGGGGAGCGAUCCGG